rnacentral:rRNA from 1 species
CCUACGGGAGGCAGCAGUGGGGAAUAUUGCACAAUGGGGGGAACCCUGAUGCAGCGACGCCGCGUGGGUGAAGGAGUAUUUCGGUAUGUAAAGCCCUAUCAGCAGGGAAGAACAAUGACGGUACCUGACUAAGAAGCACCGCAUAAAUACGUCCCAGCAGCCGCGGUAAUACGUAUGGUGGAACCGUUAUCCGGAUUUAUUGGGUGGAAAGGGAGCGCAGGCGGCGCGUUAAGUCUGGUGUGAAAGCCCGUGGCCCAACCGCGGGACUGCAUUGGAAACUGGCGCGCUGGAGAGCCGGAGGGGUAGGCGGAAUUCCUAGUGUAGCGGUGAAAUGCGUAGAUAUUAGGAGGAACACCAGUGGCGAAGGCGGCCUACUGGACGGUGACUGACGCUGAGGCUCGAAAGCGUAGGGAGCAAACAGGAUUAGAUACCCGAGUAGUC